rnacentral:tRNA from 1 species
UCGGAGUGGCCGAGCGGUCUAAGGCGCCAGACUCAAGAGUGUUCUUUCUAUUGCAACUACAUUUCAAUUAUGAUUUGAAACGAAUAAAUUGUCAUA